AUUGAACGCUGGCGGCAGGCCUAACACAUGCAAGUCGAGCGGAGCGGCGGACGGGGGAGUAAUGCCUAGGAAUCUGCCUGGUAGUGAGGGAUAACGUCCGGAAACGGGCGCUAAUACCGCAUACUAUCAGAUGAGCCUAGGGCGGAUUAGCUAGUUGGUGGGGUAAAGGACUACCAAGGCGACGAUCCGUAACUGGUCUGAGAGGAUGAUCAGUCACACUGGAACUGAGACACGGUCCAGAAUCUGACGGGAGGCAGCAGUGGGGAAUAUUAGACAAUGGGCGAAAGCCUGAUCGAGCCAUGUCGCGUGUGUGAAGAAGGUCUUCGGAUUGUAAAGCACUUUAAGUUGGGAGGCGUUACCAACAGAAUAAGCACCGGCUAACUUCGUGCCAGCAGCCGCGGUAAUUC
rnacentral:rRNA from 1 species